rnacentral:piRNA from 1 species
UGAAGUCACUCUUCUAGAAACUGCCUGGU